rnacentral:lncRNA from 1 species
GUCUGCAAGCGUGCCUCCGCGUGCACACCCGCUUCUGCACAUGCACCGGGGUGCGCACCUGUACAACCACGCGUGUACAGCCGCCACGAGGCACAGCCGUUGCGCGUGGUCACCCGUGCGGGUGCACAGGCGUGCUGGCGCACGCGGGCACUGUUACAGCCGCGUGUCCGUACACACGUGUACCUGUGUCUGAGCGUGUUCCAGCAGCACAAGACACAUCCCUGCUGCCUACAAAACCGUUUAUUUUGGGUACAAAAAAGCUCUUUUAGGGGGUGACAGAGGUUUCAGGGUCCCCUUGCCCAUCUAGGCCCUUUGCAGGGGGGAACAUGGAGGUUUUGGGCCCCCCCCAAGUGUCCCAGAACCUUUUGGGGGGGGAUCAGAGUGGUUUUGGGGUCCUCAUCUCGAUCAUUUUUGGGGUGCCAAAGCAGUUUUGGGGUCCCUUUGGGGUGUCACACCAGUUUUGGGGGUUCCUGUCUGGAUCCUUUUGGGGUGUCAAAGCAGUUUUGGGGUCCCCCAUCUAUCCUAGUCCCUUUUUUGGGGGGAUCACAGUAAUUUCAGUGUCCCGCCUGGGUCCUUUUCAGGGUGUCACAGUGGAUUCAGGGUCCCAACCAGAUCCUUUUUGGGGUGUCACACCAGAUUGGGGGUCCAUGUCCUUUUUGAGGGUGUAACAGCAGAUUCGGGGUCCCAUCCAGGUCCUUUUUGGGGUGUCACACCGGUUUGGAGAUCCAUGUCCUUUUGGGGGGUGUCACAGCCCAUUCGGGGUCCCAUCCAGAUCCUUUUUGGGGUGUCACACCGGUUUGGAGAUCCAUGUCCUUUUGGGGGGUGUCACAGCCCAUUCGGGGUCCCAUCCAGAUCCUUUUUGGGGUGUCACACCGGUUUGGGGAUCCAUGUCUUUUUUGGGGGUGUCACAGCGGAUUUGGGGUCCCCAUCGGGGUCCUUUUCGGAGUGUCACAGCGGUUUCCUCUUGCACCCCAAGAUGGUGACCAUCAGCAGCAGCUCGGUGGUGGCUGGGAGGGCGCUGCGGGGAGAGAGAAAGGAGAGGGGGUGUCGGGGCGUGCU